ensembl:lncRNA
GCUCCCUGCCUCACUCUAACAUGAGCUCCCAAGGGGAGGGCCUCUGAGUUCUCUCACCGCUGCAUCCCUUCUGCCUAGGGCAGCACCUGGCAGACAGAGGGCUGGGGAAUGGAUGUCGAGAGAAUCUUUCAACAAGGCGUUUCCACCUUGUUGAUUUCCACAGGUACAACCCCUCUCCUAAGGAAUUCUGCACCGAGGAGCAGAGACACUCAGAUUUUAUGCACAGACUCCACAAAGGGUCUUCGUACCGUGAGGCUGGCAGACGUCAACCUAGCACAGAGAAUGUGACAUCCGGGCUGUCCAAGCAAGCAAGAAGCAGGUGUGAUGCUGAUCCAGCCCCCAAGCCCACUUCUGGAGUGUUUCUCGGCUUAAGCGGAAAAUGAAGGCAGUGCCACAGCCCAUUUCCCUGUCUGUACAAUCCCAGCUCCGCUAGGAUUUCAGAUGAGCACAAGACCGAGACCUGAGCCAAGAGAGCCCCUCACUCCCAACCUCAGAGCUGACGUGGCCCAGACAAAGAUGCUCCAUGUCAGAAGCAGAACCAACUUUCCCUGUAAGAGCUUGGAGCACAGCAGGACGUGGUGCAAGCUGGCCGGCAUCUCUGGAUGGUGGCGAGCACAGUAGGAUGUGGUGCAAGCUGGCCGGCGUCUCCUCUCCUGAGUCUUGGCUUUAACCAAAGCCUCGUGCCUAGCUGAAAGUGACUUGAUGAAGAACAAAUACAUUUUCUUGUGUCUCCCACCAUAAGCUGGUCUCUCUGGUAUGUCAACUCAGCGUUUGUCUAGGUGCAGUAACCUGGCCCAGUUCUGUAAUCCUAGCACAGAAAAGGAGGCUCUGGGAGUGAACCUGAGCAUGAAGAAGUUAAACAAUCUCCCCCGGGCUAGAAGAAGAGAAAAACUCUGAGAUGAGCUUUGCUAACCUGCGGCUGUGCAUCCUCAGCAUAAUCAACUGUUGUUCAAAACUAACCAGGUCCUUCCGUCCCUCGCUAGUAUAUGAGUGAGCUUCUUUCCCAGGGAGUCAGGUCCAGACGUCAAGAUUCAGCCUCAUGAGGCCAAACGUGGGCUGAAGAUGAGAACUAACCAGAAAAGUCCAGACAGUCAAGGGAAAAGAAAUUCAGUCGUCAAGGCCAAAUACUGGCUGGUGGGAAGGCACCAACAACACGGCCACAUGCUCCCACUCCCCUACCUAAAACCCCAGAUAAAAACCCCUACCUUUCUCCCUUCAAAGAUGUGAAUCCGAGUUCUAACUCCCACCUCCUCAUCUGGCUGCUGUUCGAUAGCAAACCCCUUUCCUUGCCACAAGCCUGGUGUUUCAGGGUUUUCCUUUAUCGGACCUCCUGUGCAGCAAGCAGAAGAACCUGUGUUUGUGUGCAGUGACAGGAGCAGGAAAGUGCUCUCCUGAGGGGUUUAGACCCAGCAGGAGAAGGUCAGACGACUUUCAGGGAAAAUGCAGACAUUCUGAGCAGCAAUAGGUGGGACAUGAGCCAUGGCAGCAACUGCCCACAUCAGAGGGAAACACCUACCUGGAGCCCACACACCAGAAAGUCAUGGGGUUGUCAUGGAGGACAGUCGCAGUGCCAGGCCACGGGGCCAGUGGGGCUCGAAGGCCCGCCACACUUCUGCCUCUUUGCUCCUCCUAAGACACUAGUUCUCUGUGCUGACGGGAUACCAGACUCACCCGGAGGACUUGAAAAGGCCUGGGCCCCACCCUCGGAAGAGUGCGAUUUUACUGGUUUGGGGUGUGGCCUGGGCAGCAGCGCUUUUCAAGCUUCAGGGUGGUUCCAAUGGGCACGGAGUCUGAGAACCACUGUCCCGAGACAGCCACUCCCCGCCACACCCGACCGCACCCCAGCUUCUGGCCUUACUGCCUUCCGAGAAGGAAAGACUACCUCUGCAAAUAGCUCUCCUUUCCCUUCAUGAUGGAUUUAGGCACAGAUGUGACUUUCCCACACUCUUGGGAUUUCUUUGUAGAUACUUGGGCAUUUAAAGCAAACCAGACCUUUUGCUGAAGUGACACAUGUGCAUGAAUGUGUGUGUGUGUGUGUGUGUGCCAGGGUGGAUAGGAUGACUGUAGGAACCCAGGGAAUGUACACAGUCAGCUGUAACCAAGGUAUUUAAUCAGUAAAAAUGAAAACACACAGUUAAGCCUCUUCAUAGGGAGCCUGUACGGUGCUCACGCUUCAGGCUCACCCGUGUCAGCCAGGCACCAGCUGCUCCUCAGUCCUGACAGGUGAAGAGGCAGAGUGCCAGCCUCAGACCACGCUUCGUCUCCUUUGACAAGGUAAGAUCAGAGAGGUCGCAUAGGCAGAGGCCCAGAGAGUGCCUUAAAUGCAGCAAACCUGCACCCACAGGGUGACUCCUGAUCUGCUGAUCCUUCACUUUCACCCCCACAGCUUCUCUCAAGAAAUGCGAUGGCCAAGAGCCGUCGCUCCCCACUGCCAUCUUCCAGCAUAAUUAACCAGCAGAAUGGAGAGAAACACGAAUUUCCCAAAAUUCAAAGACAAAAUGUAAACAUGAUUACAAGUGGCUAGCUUUUUCUCGGAAAUAGUAACUCCGUACAUAGCCCAUGUACCACACACACAGUUGUCCAUACCUUGGGAGUGGUCAACCAGCAACGAAAGCAUCAUUUCUUACUACUUGACCACCCUCAGAGCUCAGAUGCAUUCUGCUCUCACUCUCCUCUGGAGAGGAGGCUCUGCUGCUCCCUACGUGGGAACGCUCUUGUCCCAUCCUUUCCCGAUAACUCCCAUUUAUCUUUGGGGCUGUUUAGACCUCCCUUCCUCCAGGCGGCCUUCACUGAUGCCCUAGGCUGCAUUGGGUGGCAUCUUCUGUGCCUGUUGCAGCCGUGGCUUGCCUCUACCCCAGCACCUGUCCUCCUGUCCUGAAGUGCCAUCUCGAGUGUCUAUCUUGAGCCACUCCUACCUCUGUGCCCAGACCCUGAGAGCUUCGUGGGCGGGGAUGAGAGCCCACCACAGCAGUGACAGCACUUGAUAUGUGUCAGCACAGGGGGUGCUCA